rnacentral:rRNA from 1 species
CCUACGGGAGGCAGCAGUAGGGAAUAUUGCUCAAUGGGGGAAACCCUGAAGCAGCAACGCCGCGUGGAGGAUGAAGGUUUUCGGAUUGGAAACUCCUUUUGUUAGAGAAGAAAAUGACGGUAUCUAACGAAUAAGCACCGGAUAACUCCGUGACAGCAGCCGUGGUAAUACGGAGGGUGCAAGCGUUACUCGGAAUCACUGGGCGUAAAGAGCGCGUAGGCGGGUUAGCAAGUCAGAUGUGAAAUCCUAUGGCUUAACCAUAGAAUUGCAUUUGAAACUGUUAUUCUAGAGUAUGGGAGAGGUAGGUGGAAUUCUUGGUGUAGGGGUAAAAUCCGUAGAGAUCAAGAAGAAUACUCAUUGCGAAGGCGGCCUACUAGAACAUAACUGACGCUGAUGCGCGAAAGCGUGGGGAGCAAACAGGAUUAGAUACCCGGGUAGUC